ACAAGCAGUGGGAGCCCCACCACUAAGCCAGUGGUGAACUCCACAUACGCAUCCUUUGCUGAGGAUACGGUUAACGGAGCGAAAGCGACGUUCAACCGCAAAAGAAGCAGAGGGGGCUUAGUGGUGGGGUGACUGCGUACCUUUUGUAUAAUGGGUCAGCGACUUAUAUUCUGUAGCAAGGUUAACCGAAUAGGGGAGCCGGAGGGAAACCGAGUCUUAACCGGGCGUUAAGUUGCAGGGUAUAGACCCGAAACCCGGUGAUCUAGCCAUGGGCAGGUUGAAGGUUGGGUAACACUAACUGGAGGACCGAACCGACUAAUGUUGAAAAAUUAGCGGAUGACCUGUGGCUGGGGGUGAAAGGCCAAUCAAACCGGGAGAUAGCUGGUUCUCCCCGAAAGCUAUUUAGGUAGCGCCUCGUGAAUUCAUCUCCGGGGGUAGAGCACUGUUUCGGCUAGGGGGCCAUCCCGGCUUACCAACCCGAUGCAAACUGCGAAUACCGGAGAAUGUUAUCACGGGAGACACACGGCGGGUGCUAACGUCCGUCGUGAAGAGGGAAACAACCCAGACCGCCAGCUAAGGUCCCAAAGUCAUGGUUAAGUGGGAAACGAUGUGGGAAGGCCCAGACAGCCAGGAUGUUGGCUUAGAAGCAGCCAUCAUUUAAAGAAAGCGUAAUAGCUCACUGGUCGAGUCGGCCUGCGCGGAAGAUGUAACGGGGCUAAACCAU
rnacentral:rRNA from 2 species